AGAGUUUGAUCCUGGCUCAGGAUGAACGCUGGCGGCGUGCUUAACACAUGCAAGUCGAACGGGGAUAAGACAUCGGAAGAGCUGCUUGCAGAUUGGAAGAAGUCAUAUUCUAGUGGCGGACGGGUGAGUAACGCGUGGGCAACCUGGCCCAUACAGGGGGAUAACACUUAGAAAUAGGUGCUAAUACCGCAUAACAACAGAAAGCGCAUGCUUUGUGUUUGAAAACUGAGGUGGUAUGGGAUGGACCCGCGUCUGAUUAGCUGGUUGGCGGGGUAAUGGCCCACCAAGGCGACGAUCAGUAGCCGGCCUGAGAGGGUGGACGGCCACAUUGGGACUGAGACACGGCCCAAACUCCUACGGGAGGCAGCAGUGGGGAAUAUUGCACAAUGGGGGAAACCCUGAUGCAGCGACGCCGCGUGAGUGAAAAAGUAAUUCGUUGUGUGAAGCUCUACCACCAGGGAAGAAAAUGACGGCCCCUGAUUACGACGCCCGGGCUAACUACCUGCCAUCCGCCGCAGUAAUACGCAGGGGGCAAGCGUCCUCCGGAUUUUCUGGGUGUGAAGGGAGCGUAGACGGCAGUGCUCGUCUGGAGUGAACGGCGGGGGC
rnacentral:rRNA from 1 species